rnacentral:rRNA from 1 species
GACGAACGCUGGCGGCGUGCUUAACACAUGCAAGUCGAACGGAAAGGCCCCCUUUUUGGGUGCUCCUCUGGUGAACGGCUGAUUAAUACCUCAUUAAUCUACUCCUCUUUUCUGUAUAACUUCUUCAAACUACUGCUACUACUGCCUAGUAGCUCCUCCUGCUUCGUGGUGGGUGGAAAGUUUCGGCGGUUGGGGAUGGACUCGCGGCUUAUCAGCUUGUUGGUGGGGUAGUGGCUCACCAAGGCUUUGACGGGUAGCCGGCCUGAGAGGGUGACCGGCCACAUUGGGACUGAGAUACGGCCCAGACUCCUACGGGAGGCAGCAGUGGGGAAUAUUGCACAAUGGGCGGAAGCCUGAUGCAGCAACGCCGCGUGCGGGAUGACGGCCUUCGGGUUGUAAACCGCUUUCGCCUGUGACGAAGCGUGAGUGACGGUAAUGGGUAAAGAAGCACCGGCUAACUACGUG